GACGAACGCUGGCGGCGUGCUUAACACAUGCAAGUCGAACGGUAAGGCUCCAGCUUGCUGGGGUACACGAGUGGCGAACGGGUGAGUAACACGUGGGUGACCUGCCCUGCACUUCGGGAUAAGCCUGGGAAACUGGGUCUAAUACCGGAUAGGACCAUGGUGUGGAUACUGUGGUGGAAAGUUUUUUCGGUGUGGGAUGGGCCCGCGGCCUAUCAGCUUGUUGGUGGGGUAAUGGCCUACCAAGGCGGCGACGGGUAGCCGGCCUGAGAGGGUGGACGGCCACAUUGGGACUGAGACACGGCCCAGACUCCUACGGGAGGCAGCAGUGGGGAAUAUCGCACAAUGGGCGGAAGCCUGAUGCAGCGACGCCGCGUGGGGGAUGACGGCCUUCGGGUUGUAAACUCCUUUCACCAUCGACGAAGGGUUUCUGACGGUAGAUGGAGAAGAAGCACCGGCUAACUACGUG
rnacentral:rRNA from 1 species